UACGGGGGGGGCAAGCGUUGCUCGGAAUUACUGGGCGUAAAGGGCUCGUAGGCGGCCAACUAAGUCGGAUGUGAAAUCCCCAGGCUCAACCUGGGAACUGCAUCCGAUACUGGAUGGCUUGAAUUCGGGAGAGGGAUGCAGAAUUCCAGGUGUAGCGGUGAAAUGCGUAGAUAUCUGGAGGAAUACUGGUGGCGAAGGCGGCAUCCUGGACCGACAUUGACGCUGAGGAGCGAAAGCCAGGGGAGCAAACGGG
rnacentral:rRNA from 1 species